ACAGCAGUCGCCGCGGGAAUACGUAGGUGGCAAGCGUUGUCCGGAAUUAUUGGGCGUAAAGCGCACGUAGGCGGAUAUUUAAGUCAGGGGUGAAAUCCCAGAGCUCAACUCUGGAACUGCCUUUGAUACUGGGUAUCUUGAGUAUGGAAGAGGAGAGUGGAAUUCCACGUGUAGCGGUGAAAUGCGUAGAGAUGUGGAGGAACACCAGUGGCGAAGGCGACUCUCUGGUCUGUAACUGACGCUGAGGAGCGAAAGCGUGGGGAGCGAACAGGAUUAGAUACCCCCGUAGUCCCUGUCUCUUAUAC
rnacentral:rRNA from 1 species